GCAAGAGCAGCUGAUCUGCGAUCAAAGUAAUCAACAAAACCAUAGGAUGACUUCUCUUUCCUAAUCAGCUUAAAUCCUUCAAUGGGUCCAGUGUUUGAGAAAACUUCUUGAAGAAGGGGUUCUGUAACCUGAGGGUGGAUGUUACCUACAUACACACUGCGGCAUGUACUCGAAUCAAAACCAGGAGGCAGAUUUCCACUCAAGAUAGGCUCUAUCUGGGGAGCAGCUAGAAGAGCAGGAUGGGGGUACUGCAUUAUGGUCUGUUGCUUCAGCCUCUGAUGCUGCAUCAUCUACUACUGGAAGAUGAAAUUACAGAAACCAAAAACCGUUGUGGCUUUGGUCGUGAUGAUUAGGGAAAAAAAAUUUAGGGUUAGGGUUUGAAGAAGAGGGAGGGAAAAAGGAAGAAAUUGAAAUUGAAAAAGAAAGAAAAAUGAGAGGAAAAGAAAAAUUAAAAAAAAUGAAAAUAAAAGAAAAUAAAAAGAAAAAAAAAAAAGGAAAAACCCUUCGAGGCGGAGGGACAGCUUGAGAAACGAUCAGGAAAAGAUAAGAGACUCCCAAGGAGACGGGGAUGACGCCU
rnacentral:misc_RNA from 1 species